rnacentral:rRNA from 1 species
GAUGAACGCUGGCGGCGUGCCUAAUACAUGCAAGUCGAGCGAACAGAUGAGGAGCUUGCUCCUCUGACGUUAGCGGCGGACGGGUGAGUAACACGUGGAUAACCUACCUAUAAGAUUGGGAUAACUUCGGGAAACCGGAGCUAAUACCGGAUAAUAUAUUGAACCGCAUGGUUCAAUAGUGAAAGACGGUUUUGCUGUCACUUAUAGAUGGAUCCGCGCCGCAUUAGCUAGUUGGUAAGGUAACGGCUUACCAAGGCGACGAUGCGUAGCCGACCUGAGAGGGUGAUCGGCCACACUGGAACUGAGACACGGUCCAGACUCCUACGGGAGGCAGCAGUAGGGAAUCUUCCGCAAAGGGCGAAAGCCUGACGGAGCAACGCCGCGUGAGUGAUGAAGGUCUUCGGAUCGUAAAACUCUGUUAUUAGGGAAGAACAAAUGUGUAAGUAACUAUGCACGUCUUGACGGUACCUAAUCAGAAAGCCACGGCUAACUACGUG